AGUAAGAUCCCUGAAAGAUGAUCAGGUUGAUAGGUCAGAGGUGGAAGCGUGGCGACAUGUGUAGCUGACUGAUACUAAUCGAUCGAGGACUUAACCAAA
rnacentral:rRNA from 1 species